rnacentral:pre_miRNA from 15 species
UGGGAGCUAUCCUUAGCCGGCAUCUUUCAUUCGCGCCUGUAUCUUGCUGAACCGUUACAAUUGUCACAUCCAAAUCCGGUUGAGCAAAAUUUCAGGUGUGUGAGAAAUUUGUAGCGGUCUCAUCAAAGCAAAG